UGUCUGUGUGUCUGUGUGUGUGUCUGUCUGUGUCUCUGUCUGUGUGUCUGUGUGUCUCUCAGUGCCUGAAUGGGGUGGUGAAGGAAGCGAAAGCUUUGAGUUCUUCACUUCUGAAGGAGAUCCAGAGGAUGUGUCUCUCUCAGCUUCACACCUUCCUACACGGCCUUCAAGCCUUGGAGAGGAAGCGCAUGAGUGCAGGGCUUGGUGCAGGAGAGGGAGGGAUCCUCCACCUGUUCAGGACCAUCAACACCUGCAGGGAGCUCAGGCUGUUAGCGGGGCAGUUAGCAUCUGAGGCUCAGACUGAUGCUGCUGCUCCUGCCGUGAGCCUCUUGGAGGAACUGGAGGCUCAGGCCAAAGAACAGCUGCUGCACACAACAACACACAACAUAGAGGCAGCUUUGAAGACCUACUUUAAGACUGG
ensembl:lncRNA